rnacentral:rRNA from 2 species
CCUGGUGAUUUAGGCAGGCUGGCAACACCUCUUCCCAUUUCGAACAGAGAAGUUAAACAGUCUAGCGUUGAUGGUAGUUAGAGCUUAAGCUUUAGCGAGAGUAGACCAUUGCCAGGA